AUUGAACGCUGGCGGCAGGCCUAACACAUGCAAGUCGAACGGUAACAGGAAGCAGCUUGCUGCUUCGCUGACGAGUGGCGGACGGGUGAGUAAUGUCUGGGAAGCUGCCUGAUGGAGGGGGAUAACUACUGGAAACGGUAGCUAAUACCGCACAAUGUCGCAAGACCAAAGAGGGGGACCUUCGGGCCUCUUGCCAUCGGAUGUGCCCAGAUGGGAUUAGCUUGUUGGUGGGGUAACGGCUCACCAAGGCGACGAUCCCUAGCUGGUCUGAGAGGAUGACCAGCCACACUGGGACUGAGACACGGUCCAGACUCCUACGGGAGGCAGCAGUGGGGAAUAUUGCACAAUGGGCGCAAGCCUGAUGCAGCCAUGCCGCGUGUAUGAAGAAGGCCUUCGGGUUGUAAAGUACUUUCAGCGGGGAGGAAGGGAGUAAAGUUAAUACCUUUGCUCAUUGACGUUACCCGCAGAAGAAGCACCGGCUAACUCCGUG
rnacentral:rRNA from 1 species